rnacentral:lncRNA from 9 species
AGGAUGGGGCCCUGGGAGCAGAACCUGCACUGUCAGAAAAUGUGCCGGGACUGGAAGAGGGAGCUUGGAGAACCAGGAGAGGGCAGCAUCAUGGGAGAACAUUCUAGAAGGGGGAAUUCCGUCUGCUGCCACAGAGAGAAGUGAAGAGAGGCAGGAGAGUCACAGGUGUGCUGUCGGUGAGCUUUGGGAGAGCGGUGGCUGCAGGCUGGUGGGUGGAACCAGGCAGACUGUGGACGGUCCUGUGCCUGGCGGAUGAGUCCUGUGCCUGCCUCUUCCCCUCUCUCCUGGCUCCUACCAGCCCUGGGAGUGAAUCCUGUGGUCUCCUCUGAUUGAAGGGCACUGUUUCUGAAACUCUGCUCCUGGGGCAUGGGGUCAGGCAGCUGGAGAUUCUAUUUCCGUGGUGUCCUGGCAGAUCGGAUCACAGCAUCCUCUUCAGAAACCAGCUCUUCACUGGAGAUGGAAGCCUCCUUAGAAAGGUCCUUCUUGGAGACCCGGGGGUUGCUGAUGAUGAACUGGGCAGCUGGGACCAAGGAGAUGGAGGAGGUGAGGGCAGAGAAAGAGCGUGGGUCUGGUGGAUCUAGAACGGGGCAAGAUGGAGCAGCAGACAAAGAGGCAUUGGGGACCUGGAGCCUGGGUCCAGGCCCGAGACUGAAGGACUUGACCUCCUGUGCCCUCCUCUGGCUGAAGGAUUUGAUGAUCUCUCUGGAACCUGUUUCUGGAUCACUUCCAAGAAGGUGGGGGCUGCUGCCCUGUGAUGGAACCUCCUGUCCUCAGCAGGGAGCCUGGCUUGCUGGACACAUGGGGGUCCCACAGAGAGUAAGGUCCCACCUGCAGACCACAGAGAGCUCUGGACUGUGCCAAUCGAGCUGGGGCCUCCUCUAUCUUGGGUAGCAGGGGUCAAGAGCCUGGGGGCUGGCAGUCAACCUCCAAUUGCUCAGGCGCUGCUUGCUCCUUAGGCCAGUCUGAGAGGUGGAGGUGGUUUGUCUUGGGCUGCCUCCCACCUGCCCUUCAGCCCCGAUUCCCUCCCUGAGCGGCCCCCCUACCCCCCACCCACUGACCAGCAGCCUCCCUUCUCACAUCCCCAGGGCAGGGACAGAAGAGGGCCUUCACAGUGUCCUUGGGGACAUGGCUGCAGCCCUGCAGGCUUCUUUCCUAAGACUCCUAAUAAGCUGCAAGUUUGGGUCUCCAUCCUUUGCAGUCUAGGCUGUUUCUCACUGGUUCUCCCUGCCCUUUGGGCCUCCAGGCCGUCUCCGCUAGAGCCAUUCUCUGUGCUAAUGCUGGAGGAAUCCCUCCAAGUCAGGCCACUUCCCAGCUCAAAAGUCUCUAAUGACCAUCCCUAUCAGGAGGAUAAAGUCCAAACUCCCUGGCCACGUGUUCAAGAAAUACUAUAAAACUGGAUUGUGAUUGCCUUUCUGACUUCAUCUUAUUCCCUGCUCACUGAGGCGUUAUACCUGCUCAAGCAGAACCGGGCUUUCCUCUCGGUCUGCUCGCCAACUUCCUGUAUCAGGACCCAGAUCAGGUGACACCUCCCCAGGGAGUGCGCCCUACCUUCUCACUGGGACGCCUCCCUUGGUUAAUCGCCGCCCCUCUGCUGUCCCCUGAUACAUUCUUCAGAUCUUCAUCUUUCUGUGAUUCCCUCUCCCUGCUAUUUCUGGGGUGCCUGCUAUGGUGCAAGUUUUGGAGAUACGGUGGGGAGCAAAAUUGCCUGGUUCCCACCUCGUGGCCUUCGUUGUCCAGCAUUUAUCGCACUGGACUGUAAAUUCUCUGUUUGGAUCGAUUGCUCCUACUGGUCAACUACCAUUUUGAGGACCAGAGCGAUCCUUUAUCUCUGUAUCUCAAUUUAUUUAACACAGAUCCUAACACUUGC